ACUUGGGCUGAGCCGGCGAGAUCUCGCGAGAUGCUGCAGGGCUACAGGGCCGCUUCACCUCAGGCUUGUGGUACCCGAGGCGGUGCUAGAGCUGCCGGGCGCCCCCCGCUCCGGUGGGUGAUGCCGGGGAUUUUCCCGUCGGGGCCGCAGGUGCUUCCGGAGUGGCGGGCGAGGUGCGUCCCCCGGCGAGGUCGGCUCGCAGCUCCGGCGGGCGGCAACUGCCCGCCCUCGCUCCAGGCCUGAGCCUUAGGGGGAGGCAGGAUUUCCUCUGAGCCGCCUUUGAGGCGGUCGACUCCCCGCCUGGCCGCGUUAGAUUUGCAUAACCAGAAACACUCCAGUGGAGAUGCAGUGGGUGUGUCCACACUUCGACGACACCUUUAUUUUAAAAGCUGUGAUGUUUGAAGGUCAUGAUAACCUGUGAUUCCAAUUAAAGAUUUUAAAAAAGAGAAGAGUUCAGCCCUUCAGGUACUGGUUUGCACUCCUUAAGCCAGAGCGACCUAGGAAACAUGAAUUUUCCUCUCACCUAGACUUUGUGCAAGAAUAAAGAUGAACCAAGGAGGGAAAAAGUCACCUCAGAUUUCACUUCGUGUCUGAGUCUUUUUAGAACUUUUGGCCAGGCAUUUAAACCAACCUGCAACUUGUAUCAAAAACCGAACUUGUUCUCAUUGACGAUAAUAGAAAAACGGCUGUACGAGCUGUUGUUAACACGCUGUCCGUGAAGAUAGACAUCUACUUUGCUGGGAGAGCAGAUGGAAGACGCCACCAUACGCCUGGAAGAGAAAAGUCUAUGACCAUCUGUCUAUCAUUACGUAUAGAUUAUGGAGCAUACCAACUUGUGCUGAGAGGAAU